rnacentral:misc_RNA from 1 species
CGUAUGGUCUGGCCACCCUCAAGAUCAAUGUUAGCUCAACCAAACAAAGAAUGAAACGACCAAACCGGAUGGGGUAACCCUCAAGAUCAUUGAUGUGGCUCAACAUGACAUAGAAUGAAUAGAGACCAACUCAUCUUUAUUCCAGCUGGCUGGUUGACUUUACAUCCUCUUCCUCAAGGUCAAAUUCUUGUUCCACGCCCUUCACCUCAGGUACAUAAUGCAUUAACAUAUUUUCAAUGCCAGAUUUUAGAGUGACGGAUGAGCUUGGGCAGCCACUGCAUGCUCCUUGCAUUCUCAAUGUGACAAUACCAG